rnacentral:rRNA from 1 species
CUGGCGGCGUGCCUAAUACAUGCAAGUCGAACGGUCUUUCUAUGGAAGCUUGCUUCCACUGAGAAGAUAGUGGCGGACGGGUGAGUAACACGUGGGUAACCUGCCCAUAAGAGGGGGAUAACAUCCGGAAACGGGUGCUAAUACCGCAUAGUUUUCUUGAUCGCAUGAUUGAGAAAGGAAAGACGGCCUUUGUGCUGUCGCUUAUGGAUGGACCCGCGGCGUAUUAGUUAGUUGGUGAGGUAAUGGCUCACCAAGACGAUGAUACGUAGCCGACCUGGGAGGGUGAUCGGCCACAUUGGGACUGAGACACGGCCCAAACUCCUACGGGAGGCAGCAGUAGGGAAUCUUCCGCAAUGGACGAAAGUCUGACGGAGCAACGCCGCGUGAGUGAAGAAGGUUUUUUCGGAUCGUAAAACUCUGUUGUCAGAGAAGAACAAGUUGGAGAGUAACUGCUCCAGCCUUGACGGUAUCUGACCAGAAAGCCACGGCUAACUACGUGCCAGCAGCCGC